UACGUAGGGGGCAAGCGUUGUCCGGAUUUACUGGGCGUAAAGAGCGCGUAGGCGGAGAUCUAAGCGUGGCCUGAAAGCCCCCGGCUCAACCGGGGAGUGCGGCUGCGAACUGGGUUUCUUGAGGACGAUAGAGGAGAGUGGAAUUCCUGGUGUAGCGGUGAAAUGCGUAGAUAUCAGGAGGAACACCCGAGGCGAAGGCGGCUCUCUGGGUCGUACCUGACGCUGAGGCGCGAAAGCGUGGGGAGCGAACGGGAUUAGAAA
rnacentral:rRNA from 1 species